UACUGAGUAUUCUCUAAACAACCAGAUAGAUAUUCGAAGACUCCGUACCUUUCAGAAGUUUAUAGAGAUUGGCAUUGACAUCAACCAGAUAAUCAAGAGUUAAAAAGGUGAUCCACUGUGUGAUACAUAAGACAAGUGUCCUUCAUAAGAAAAUUGACACAGAACUUUAUGAUGGAUAAACCAAGGGAAAGAGGAGAACAGACACCAGAAACUGGCCAUGGGAAGAGUUCUCAAUAGGGCUGAUGCUAACAAGCUCAGUGAUACUUGGUCCCUGCACCAAGACCUUGGCUGACAAGAAAAACCUCCAUGCAAUGGUGAUGGGUAUCUCAUUCAACCCAGCAUUCGCUUUAUCUUUGCCAGAAAGUUCCAGUGAUGGUUUAUAAAUAAGACCCCCAAACUUUACUCUUUAUUUGGUAUAGUGCCAGUAAACAUACUAACUUAGAGCGUAGAAUAUUCUUGGUCUACAAUUAAAACCACAUUUAAAUUUAU
rnacentral:lncRNA from 1 species